CUUCCUCCUCCUCUCCCUCCUCCUCCCCCUCCAGAUCCAGCAAGACAUCUUCGUUCUCCAUAUUCAUCCUCCCGAAGCUGCAGUCCCCUGCGCCCGUUCUCCCGCCGCCGGCGGGGAGGCGAGCCUGCCCCGAGCUCUCCCUGCCCUGGAGGCGGAGCGGCAGCGGGCGGCGGGGAGGAGGCGGCGGGGUGCGGGCGGGGCGGCAGCAGCCAGCACCUUCCCGGCAGCUGGGCCGCCCGUGCCCCGGCACCUUGCCUGCUCGGCUGUAGCCCACCACCGUCCUGCUGUUCUCAGCCUCAAACAGCUCCCGCCUGAGAUCUCAGAAAGGUGAGCCCUAGGUGGGAUUCAAGACAGGCAGCAAUGCAUCUCCACAGUCCUUACAGCGCUAUUACCUCUAACGUGCAGCUGGCUCCAGCCGUCGGACGAGGAAGAAGGUACUGAUCUCUGGGCACAGAGAGGCAGUGGUGGUCAGCAAGCAGCAGGAUCCAAAGUGGAGCAUUUACAAAGAUUUCUCUGGUUUCAUCCACAUGUUCAUCUUUUGAAAACUGGGUCAGGAGUGAAAGCCUUGGAUCUUUCUAAAGUAAGAGCUUGUCCUCAUCAGCUUCUUCAUCUUCAGAUACAAACUAGGAGAAUUCUACAACAGGGGCAAUAAAGAAUUGUGACCGUGCAGAAAUGCUGAAGGUACAGAAGUACUCAUAAAAAGAGAUUUGAGCACUCAUCGUGUACUGUUUCUGGCGGAAAGCAGAGGCUUCCUAAAACUGAAAGGAAGAGUGGUUAGAGAGGAGCUGGACUGAGCUUGAAUAAUGGGGAAAAAAUGUAAAUAAGACUGGAAAUAAUGAAUCUUAAAAAUGGAGCAGCUGUGCUUAGAGAAAGGAGAAGAUAGGGAGGGGAGAAGAUAAGAGUAAGAGAACCUUUAAAAUUAUUAUUAUUAUUAUUAUUAUUAUUGUUAUUAUUAUUCACAAAGCAAUAA